GACAGAGGAUGCAAGUGUUAUCCGGAAUCACUGGGCGUAAGCGUCUGUAGGUGGUCAAAUAAGUCAACUGUUAAAUCUUGAGGCUCAACCUCAAAAUCGCAGUCGAAACUAUUCGACUAGAGUAUAGUAGGGGUAAAGGGAAUUUCCAGUGGAGCGGUGAAAUGCGUAGAGAUUGGAAAGAACACCGAUGGCGAAGGCACUUUACUGGGCUAUUACUAACACUGAGAGACGAAAGCUAGGGUAGCAAAUGGG
rnacentral:rRNA from 1 species